rnacentral:snRNA from 1 species
GCGACCAGAAAAAUAGAGGUUUA